rnacentral:piRNA from 1 species
CUAUGAAUGCUGGCACAACACUGACA